UACGUAGGUGGCGAGCGUUAUCCGGAAUUAUUGGGCGUAAAGAGGGAGCAGGCGGCACUAAGGGUCUGUGGUGAAAGAUCGAAGCUUAACUUCGGUAAGCCAUGGAAACCGUAGAGCUAGAGUGUGUGAGAGGAUCGUGGAAUUCCAUGUGUAGCGGUGAAAUGCGUAGAUAUAUGGAGGAACACCAGUGGCGAGGGCGACGAUCUGGCGCAUAACUGACGCUCAGUCCCGAAAGCGUGGGGAGCAAAUAGGAUUAGAUACCCUAGUAGUCCACGCCGUAAACGAUGAGUACUAAGUGUUGGGUGUCAAAGCUCAGUGCUGCAGUUAACGCAAUAAGUACUCCGCCUGAGUAGUACGUUCGCAAGAAUGAA
rnacentral:rRNA from 1 species